rnacentral:rRNA from 1 species
CCCUUAGAUGUUCUGGGCCGCACGCGUGCUACACUGAGUAAUUCAAUGGGUAAGGGAACGCUAGAGCAUUACCUAAUCUUGAAAUUUGCUCGUGAUGGGGAUCGAUGGUUGCAAUUUUCCGUCGCGAACGAGGAAUACCUUGUAGGCGCAUGUCAUCAUCAUGCGCCGAAUACGUCCCUGCCCUUUGUACACACCGCCCGUCGCUCCUACCGAUUGAGUGAUCCGGUGAGGCUCUGGGACCUGGACGGAAAGAGCGUUUCGCUUGUUCUGUUUGGGAAACUUGGUCGAACCUUAUCAUUUAGAGGAAGGAGAAGUCGUAACA